rnacentral:sRNA from 1 species
AACACCUUUCAUUUUGACCUAAAUUUGCUAGCUUACUGAAAAUGAUUCUACUUUUCUCAUUACAAACUCAUUUGAAGUAAAACUGUAGGAUUUUGAAUUUAGAGUCUCAAAAAUGAUCUUACAAGAAUGGAUUUUCAAUCAUUUAAAUUCACGUGGUAUUUCUUUCCCUUUGUCUAUCUGGUGUUCACUGAUAAAAAAAAAAAAUCUAGCCUAAUGCUAACCAGUGAUCUGCCUGGGAAACUUGUCUUAGCAAGCUAGGGGAAAAAAAUAAAUAAAUAAACAAACAAAAAUGAAACAAGAUUAAAAAAAAAAAAAACCACAAUAGCCUCGUCUCUGUUACUGAAAAAAUAUACACAAGCAUUAGCUUCACACAAGCAAGGUUGAAACGGGUGGGGUCCUUUGAUUGACGUCCAGUUGUCACUGUCAUUGGAAAAUUUUAUGGGCAGCUUCCAAUCCGUUUAGACAAAUUAGGAUGAAUGGAAGUGCUGAGUAAGGGGGCUACUCUCUGUGCACCAGCUAUAAACGGAGGCCCGAAAGCCCUGAGUGCUGUACUUGGACUGCUAAAACAAUGGGGGAGGGGAGCCCAGAAAACUGAGAGAGAAACGUGUUGAGAUGGGAAAUUAAUGAACAGAAAUGGCAUUCAGGCAUGUCAAAAGAUAAGACAGAUUUGGUUUUUUGGAAAGAGACCUAAAUCUAGUAAACAGGGCCAAGUCUCAUGAAUUGCAAAAAUUACAUCAUGUACAAUGAUUUUAGCGAUAAAUUUAUUUUAACCAUCGAUAGCCAAAGGUGGUUAUUUUGGGAGAACACAGUGGAUACAUUUGUUUUCCUGAAGCAGGCAGGGGCAGUAUUGUGUUACUCAUCAACUUCAUUAAUAUUCAUUAAUUUUUAAAGCACUCUGGUUAGGUUUGGCUAUUAUCUAUACAGAUUAUUUUGCCCUUAAAUAAAAAUAAUUACAAUAAUUUCAUUAUUUAAAAUGUAAUUAGCAAAAAGUAAAAAGAAACUCUACGUUUUCAUUAGGAAAGUAUACAUUCAUUAGAAAGUACAUAUUUUUUUCCAAAGGAUUCUGUUCUAAUUGAAUUCCUGGGGUAAAAUUCUAAUAGUCAUACUGACUAAAAUAUCCUAAAUGUAACCAAAAUUAAAUUGAAAAUACUUAUGUUUUUUUUUUCAAAUCAAUCUCCACUUUCAAGAAUACCAGGGUUGACCCAAUUACCUCUGUGAAGGGACCCAGUUGUUUGACAUUCUUCUGCACUGCACUCCCAGUAUUUCGUAGUAGACUGUCCUCACAAGUCCAGUGCCUUCCAUCCCCAAAGAUUCUGAUGAACAUUUAGUGAUAUUUACCUUACAAAGUAACCAAAGCCAGAUGCGCACAGAGCUCACAUCGCUGUAUGAAGAAAUUGUUUCCUUGUGGUCACUGCUCCCACUUUUGAAGGGGAAACAGUAAACUCUGGAAAUUAUCCUUGUGAAACUAGGAAAUCAAAGGCAGAAAUGCAAAAUAGUUUUAUUUGUAAAUAAACCCAACUGUAUGAACCACGCAAGACCUUAUUCUGCUAAAGCCCUACGGCCUUUAUAAAUCAGGCUUUUUACACUAUGACAGAUUAACAACCAGGACAAAAUAUUCAUGCAUAUGGAGUUAGAGAUGGGAUCCUCCACAUCUCCUCGAUUCACAGCAUCCACUGUGGUACAUGUUGAGUCAUAUUUGUGGAUUAUGAGGAAAUAAAUAAGAUUAAAAUAUAACCUUAAGAAAAGAAGUCUGGAUAUUUGGAAAGUUUUGAAGCAUGGCCAAAUGGGAAAAUUCAUUCUAGUGAGCAACUGUAUUUUUAGCAAAACGCAUUUCCCCCUGUGCUUUGGGGGUGGUUUACAUGUGUGGGACCACAUAUAUGUAAGGACAUCCUGUCUUAUGAUUGGAGUUAAAUCUAUGGAUUUGUCAAAAGUAAAUUCCAAUCCUGAGAAAUGCCUCCCUUACCCAGUCUUUAGGUUUGGCAUUCUGUCCCCUCUGGUUGUUAGGCGGUUUGGUGUAUAUCUGAGAUGAGCUGGGCCCUAGAGGCCAGUACAAUUUCCCUGUUUAGGUUAGCUUGAAAAACAAGGAGAGUGUCUUCUUGUUAUUGAAGAUACACGCCUACAGGCUAAUUUUUCUAAGCCCAUAGUCAUUAAGGGCAGACCAACAAGAAGAAAAACUUAGCUUCUGGCUCCCUAAGUGGAUUCAACUUCCUCCCCGUUCCAGCAAUGGUACAGUUGGAUAAUUCUCUUUGGAGUUGUUUAUUUCCACUCAAAUUUAUUUUUGAGGACAAGGAACAAUACUGCUGUCUCCUCAGCGGAUACAACUUCAAGUCAAGAAGGCAGGCUUUGGUCAGCUCACUGUUGAGACACUGGGCCCUUUUAGUUGCCCCUGUAUAAACUGACAUUGCAAGAUGGGGAUGGGAAAUGGAGGGGUAUCAUCCUCAUUAUCUAAGAUCCUGGAUUUGAGUGUUGUAGCUCUUAGCCCUUGGAAAUUAGAGCCAAACUCAGAAUCAGCAACUUUCAUCAACCCCUGGCUGGAAAAACUGUGGUGUGCAGGCAGCCUUAUUUCAAGAAGGCCCGUUCCUCUCAGUUCCUUCAGGCCCACCCAACCUCUGAGCAGGAUCGAAGGUCUAAACGACCCAGCCAUGUGUGAAAGGAAAGAACUUCAGAGUCCCCAGCCUGUCGGGGAAGUUUGCUGUAACAACAAGCAUCCUAGGGCGGUGGAGAAACCAUGGUCUCCUGAGGAACACGAGCUCAUUGCAGAAAGCAGGAAGACGCCCGUUUAGCUUCUUUAAUUCUUGAAUGCUGUUCCGUACGGAUGAGAGAACAGGCUCAGAACCAUAGCACAUCUUGCCAAAGUAGUGGAUGUUGGAGCCAAGAAUCAAAGGCGUGGAGGGGGGGGGACUCGGGGGCAGGCUC